rnacentral:tRNA from 1 species
GGUGGUGGUCGAGUGGUUUAGAGCGUUGGCUUACCAAGUCAGAGGUCCGAGGUUCGAACCCUCGCCAUCACCG